ensembl:snoRNA
AAUUAACUAUCUAUUACAUAAGUCAAAUAUAUUUUUAACAAUUUGAGCUUGCUACAGCAAGAAAGUCUAACCUAUUCCAGCAUUCUCCCCACUGUGAGAUAGGCUGUUAUAUAGACUGAAACAGU